AUAGGGAGUCGGACCUGCCCAGUGAUAAUUUUAACGGCCGCGGUACUCUGACCGUGCAAAGGUAGCAUAAUCAUUUGCCUUAUAAUUGAAGGCUAGUAUGAAUGGUUUGACAAGAAUAAAGCUGUCUCUGUUGCAAUUAUAUAGAAUUUUAUUUUUAGGUGAAGAAGCCUAUAUAUAAUUAAAAGACAAGAAGACCCUAUCGAGCUUUAAAAAAAUUAAUAAAAUAAAAAUAUAAUACAUAAAUUUAUGUUUAUUAAAAAUUUUGGUUGGGGCGACUAAGGAACAGUUAAAGCUUCUAGUUAAUAUAAAAGCAUACAUGCAUUGAUCCAAAAAUUUUGAUUAAAGGAAUUAGUUACCGUAGGGAUAACAGCAUUAUCUUUUUUGAGAGUUCAUAUCGAAAAAAAGGUUUGUGACCUCGAUGUGGACCAGAAUAUCCUAAGGAUGCAGAAGUCCUAAGGGUGU
rnacentral:rRNA from 1 species